UAACAGCACCGUCGUCUAUGGCCUCGCGCAAUGCCGCGGCGACGUCUCCGCCAGCGACUGCUCCGCCUGCCUCGUGGACGCCGCCAAGCAGCUCCCCGCCGCCUGCAGCUACCUAUCCGACGCUAGAAUAUGGUACCACAGUACGACUUGCAGUAAUUAUUACUGGAAUCUUAGUUCAAUCGAGCCGAAAAAAUCGAUGGAUUUGCAUGCAUGCUCAAUCAUUUAACUGAGCUUGCGCUGUACGCCCGCGCGUGCUGCGUGCAUGCAGGUACGACUUCUGCUUCAGGCUGGCCAUAGCGGGGAGUAAUAUAGUAGUAACAUCACACAUUACAAUGCAAAUUUGCUUAUGUGACAGUGAGUUAAUGAGGAGAGAGGUGCUUGUGGUAACUAGCUAUGUUACAGUAACAUCACACAUACCAAUACAAAAUGAGUCUAUAUCCUAAUUAAUAUGACAUCCCACAAAUGUUACUACCCACUAUGGAGGUAGUAACAUAGACCAGUAACAUGUGCAUGUUACUUGGCUAAGUUACUCCCCACUGUGAGCAGCCUCAUGCGGUACGACAACACAGACUUCGUCGGACACUCGGACACGGGCGCCGGCGUGAUCCUGGUGAACGUGCAGGCGGCGGACGACCCCAAGCCGUUCAAGACGGCGGUGGGGAAGGUGAUGAACAAGGCGACGGCGAAAUCGUCAGCGUCGGGCAGCGCGGGGCUCGGCAGGUCCAAGUACCAGUACACGCCGUUCGUCACCAUCUACGGCCUGGCGCAGUGCACGCGGGACCUCGCGCCGCUGGCGUGCGCGCAGUGCGUCUCGGUGGCGCUGUCCAAGUUCGGCGACUACUGCGGCGCGCAGCAGGGCUGCCAGAUCAACUACAGCAGCUGCAGGGUGCGCUACGAGAUCUACCCGUUCUACUUCCCGCUCGACGGCGCCGCCAAUGGACGCGCCACUACCGAUAUGACAAAAUACACCAAGAUCGUCG
rnacentral:lncRNA from 1 species